GAAUGCCUGACAGACAAUGGUGGCUGCCAUCAACAUGCACUGUGUACCAAUACACUGGCCAGUUUCACCUGUACAUGUCUGAACGGCUUUCUCGGGGACGGAUACAGUUGUGUAGACAUUGAUGAGUGCAUCAGUUACAAUGACAGCUGUGAUCCAAAUGCCAACUGUACCAACACCAUAGGGAACUUUACCUGUACUUGUAACUCUGGUUACACAGGGAACGGAUACACCUGUGAAGACAUCAAUGAGUGUCUUGUGGACAAUGGCGGCUGUGAUGUACACGCCACCUGUACCAAUACAGUGGGGAACUUCUCCUGUGGUUGUAACUAUGGUUACACUGGAGACGGAGUCACAUGUGUGGAUUUCUGUGACGAGCUGUCCUAUGUAAACAUCAGUGACAGUUGGCGGAGUGUCACCCUGGGUGCAGGGGUCACCUCUCACUGUGACAGUGGUGACUGGGUGACACAGUGGUACCGUAUUGU